rnacentral:rRNA from 1 species
GACGAACGCUGGCGGCGUGCCUAAUACAUGCAAGUAGGACGCAGUUGCGAACGGGUGAGUAACGCGUAGGUAACUACCUAUUAGAGGGGGAUAACUAUUGGAAACGAUAGCUAAUACCGCAUACUAGUAGAUGGACCUGCGUUGUAUUAGCUAGUAGGUUGGGUCAUGGCCUACCUAGGCAACGAUACAUAGCCGACCGUGUAGGGGGAUCGGCCACACUGGGACUGAGACACGGCCCAGACGCCGACGGGAGGCAGCAGUAGGGAAUCGUCGGCAAUGGGGGGAACCCUGACCGAGCAACGCCGCGGGAGUGAAGAAGGUUUUCGGAUCGUAAAGCGCGGUUGGUAAGGAAGCGGUACUUAACCAGAAAGGGACGGCUAACUACGUGCCAGCAGCCGCGGUAAUUC